rnacentral:rRNA from 1 species
UACGUAGGGUGCGAGCGUUGUCCGGAAUUAUUGGCGUAAAGAGCUUGUAGGCGGUUUGUCGCGUCUGCUGUGAAAAUCCGGGGCUCAACCCCGGACUUGCAGUGGGUACGGGCAGACUAGAGUGUGGUAGGGGAGACUGGAAGUUCCUGGUGUAGCGGUGGAAUGCGCAGAUAUCAGGAGGAACACCGAUGGCGAAGGCAGGUCUCUGGGCCAGCUACUGACGCUGAGAAGCGAAAGCAUGGGGAGCGAACAGG